rnacentral:rRNA from 1 species
GACGAACGCUGGCGGCGUGCUUAACACAUGCAAGUCGAACGGAAAGGCCCUGCUUUUGUGGGGUGCUCGAGUGGCGAACGGGUGAGUAACACGUGAGUAACCUGCCCUUGACUUUGGGAUAACUUCAGGAAACUGGGGCUAAUACCGGAUAGGAGCUCCUGCUGCAUGGUGGGGGUUGGAAAGUCUCGGCGGGUGGGGAUGGACUGGCGGCUUAUCAGCUUGUUGGUGGGGUAGUGGCUUACCAAGCCUUGGACGGGUAGCCGGCCUGGGAGGGUGACCGGCCACCAUGGGACUGAGAGACGGCGCAGACUCCUACGGGAGGCAGCGGUGGGGAGUAUUGCACAAUGGGCGGGAGCCUGAUGCAGCGACGCCGCGUGCGGGAUGACGGCCUGCGGGUUGUAAACCGCUUUCGCCUGUGACGAAGCGGGAGUGACGGUAAUGGGUAAAGAAGCACCGGCUAACUACGUG